AUUGAACGCUGGCGGCAGGCCUAACACAUGCAAGUCGAGCGAGAGGCGGACGGGUGAGUAAUGUCAGGUAAACUGCCUGAUGGAGGGGGAUAACUCCUGGAAACGUUAGCUCAUAACGCAUUCCAGCAGCUGUGGCCAGAUGGGAUUAGCUAGUAGGUGGGGUAAUGGCUCACCUAGGCGACGAUCCCUAGCGGUUCUGAGAGGAUGACCAGCAACACUGGAACUGAGACACGUUCCAGACUCCUACGGGAGGCAGCAGUGGGGAAUAUUGCACAAUGGGCGCAAGCCUGAUGCAGCCAUGCCGCGUGUGUGAAGAAGGCCUUCGGGUUGUAAAGCACUGUCAGCGAGGAGGCGUUACUCGCAGAAGAAGCACCGGCUAACUCCGUGCCAGCAGCCGCGGUAAUAC
rnacentral:rRNA from 1 species